rnacentral:rRNA from 1 species
CAGGGAAAGGGUUGCCUAAAUACAUGCAAGUCGAGCGGACAGAUGGGAGCUUGCUCCCUGAUGUUAGCGGCGGACGGGUGAGUAACACGUGGGUAACCUGCCUGUAAGACUGGGAUAACUCCGGGAAACCGGGGCUAAUACCGGAUGGUUGUUUGAACCGCAUGGUUCAAACAUAAAAGGUGGCUUCGGCUACCACUUACAGAUGGACCCGCGGCGCAUUAGCUAGUUGGUGAGGUAACGGCUCACCAAGGCAACGAUGCGUAGCCGACCUGAGAGGGUGAUCGGCCACACUGGGACUGAGACACGGCCCAGACUCCUACGGGAGGCAGCAGUAGGGAAUCUUCCGCAAUGGACGAAAGUCUGACGGAGCAACGCCGCGUGAGUGAUGAAGGUUUUCGGAUCGUAAAGCUCUGUUGUUAGGGAAGAACAAGUACCGUUCGAAUAGGGCGGUACGUUGACGGUACCUGACCAGAAAGCCACGGCUAACUACGUGCCAGCAGCCGCGGUAAUACGUAGGUGGCAAGCGUUGUCGGGCGUUAUGGGGCGUAAGGGGGUCGCAGCGGUUUGUUAUCUCUGAUGUGAAAGCCGCCGGCUCGACCGGGG